rnacentral:tRNA from 1 species
UCUAAUAUGGCAGAUUAGUGCGGUGGAUUUAAGCUCCAUUUAUAAAGGUUUUCUUUUGUUAGAA